AAAUUGAAGAGUUUGAUCAUGGCUCAGAUUGAACGCUGGCGGCAGGCCUAACACAUGCAAGUCGAACGGUAACAGGAAGCAGCUUGCUGCUUUGCUGACGAGUGGCGGACGGGUGAGUAAUGUCUGGGAAACUGCCCGAUGGAGGGGGAUAACUACUGGAAACGGUAGCUAAUACCGCAUAACGUCGCAAGACCAAAGAGGGGGACCUUAGGGCCUCUUGCCAUCGGAUGUGCCCAGAUGGGAUUAGCUAGUAGGUGGGGUAAUGGCUCACCUAGGCGA
rnacentral:rRNA from 1 species